UGUGGCCNGAACUGNGGUUGANGUUAAUCACCGUNAUGNNUAACCCUUGCCUCUCUUACUUGUGCGNGUAUACCCCAUGCNCUGGAUAGGAUGGCUGANUNACCGCAUACCCUUGUGGAGUUGCUAUACUUUUUCAAGNAAGAUUUAUCGCUAAGAGAGGGGCCUGCGUAUGAUUAGCUAGUUUGGUGAGGUAACGGCCCACCAAGGCGACGAUCAUUAGCUGGUCUGAGAGGACGAUCAGCCACACUGGAACUGAGACACGGUCCAGACUCCUACGGGAGGCAGCAGUGGGGAAUUUUCCGCAAUGGGCGAAAGCCUGACGGAGCAACGCCGCGUGGGUGAUGAAGUCUUUCGGGACGUUAAACCCUUUCAGCAGGGACGAACACAAUGACNGGUACCUGCAGAAGAAGCAUCGGCUAACUACGUGCCAGCAGCCGCGGUAAUACGUAGGAUGCGAGCGUUGUCCGGAUUUAUUGGGCGUAAAGAGAACGUAGGUGGUUUCUUAAGUUUGGUCUUAAAGACCGGGGCUCAACCCCGGGAAUGGAUCGAAUACUGGGAGACUAGAGGAUGUUAGAGGAAAGUGGAAUUCCAAGUGUAGCGGUGAAAUGCGUAGAUAUUUGGAGGAACACCAGUGGCGAAAGCGGCUUUCUGGGACAUUCCUGACACUGAGGUUCGAAAGCUCGGGGAGCAAACAGGAUUGGAUACCCUGGUAGUCCGAGCCGUAAACGAUGGACACUAGGUGUCACGGGUAUCGACACCCCGUGGUGCCGUAGCUAACGCGUUAAGUGUCCCGCCUGGGGAGUACGGUCGCAAGACUGAAAC
rnacentral:rRNA from 1 species